GCCAGGCGUGGUGGCACCUGCCUGUAGUCCCAGCUACUUGGGAGGCUGAGGUUAGAGGUUCUCUUGAGUCCAGGAGUUCUGGGCUGUAGUGUGCUAUGCUGAUCGGGUGUCUGCACUAAGUUCGGCAUCAAUAUGGUGACCUCCCAGGAGUGGGGGACCACCAGGUUGCCUAAGGAGGGGUGAACCAGCCCAGGUCAGAAAUGGAGUAGAUCAAAACUCCCAUGCUGAUCAGUAGUGGGAUCGCACCUGUGAAUAGCCACUGCACUCCAGCCUGGGCAACAUAGUGAGACCCCAUCUCU
rnacentral:SRP_RNA from 1 species